AGGAUGAACGCUGGCGGCGUGCUUAACACAUGCAAGUCGAACGAUGAAGGCUGGAGCUUGCUCUGGCUGGAUUAGUGGCGAACGGGUGAGUAACACGUGAGUAACCUGCCCCAGACUCUGGGAUAAGCGCUGGAAACGGCGUCUAAUACCGGAUACGAGCUUCCACCGCAUGGUGAGAAGCUGGAAAGAAUUUCGGUCUGGGAUGGACUCGCGGCCUAUCAGCUUGUUGGUGAGGUAAUGGCUCACCAAGGCGACG
rnacentral:rRNA from 1 species